GGAUUAGAUACCCUGGUAGUCCACACUGUAAACGCUGUCUACUAGCUGUGUGUGAAUGUAUAUUUGUGCGUAGCGCAGCCAACGCGAUAAGUAGACCGCCUGGGGAGUACGGCCGCAAGGUUAAAACUCAAAUGAAUUGACGGGGGCCCGCACAAGCGGUGGAGCAUGUGGUUUAAUUCGAUGCAACGCGAAGAACCUUACCUACACUUGACAUGCCAAGAAGUUUGAAGAGAUUCGAACGUGCCUUCGGGAGCUUGGACACAGGUGCUGCAUGGCUGUCGUCAGCUCGUGCCG
rnacentral:rRNA from 1 species